GAUGAACGCUGGCGGCGUGCCUAAUACAUGCAAGUCGAGCGAACGGACGAGAAGCUUGCUUUUCUGAUGUUAGCGGCGGACGGGUGAGUAACACGUGGAUAACCUACCUAUAAGACUGGGAUAACUUCGGGAAACCGGAGCUAAUACCGGAUAAUAUUUUGAACCGCAUGGUUCAAAAGUGAAAGACGGUCUUGCUGUCACUUAUAGAUGGAUCCGCGCUGCAUUAGCUAGUUGGUAAGGUAACGGCUUACCAAGGCAACGAUGCAUAGCCGACCUGAGAGGGUGAUCGGCCACACUGGAACUGAGACACGGUCCAGACUCCUACGGGAGGCAGCAGUAGGGAAUCUUCCGCAAUGGGCGAAAGCCUGACGGAGCAACGCCGCGUGAGUGAUGAAGGUCUUCGGAUCGUAAAACUCUGUUAUUAGGGAAGAACAGAUGUGUAAGUAACUGUGCACAUCUUGACGGUACCUAAUCAGAAAGCCCCGGCUAACUACGUG
rnacentral:rRNA from 1 species